rnacentral:rRNA from 1 species
AUUGAACGCUGGCGGCAAGCUUAACACAUGCAAGUCGAGCGGAGAGAGGUAGCUUGCUACUGAUCUUAGCGGCGGACGGGUGAGUAAUGCUUAGGAAUCUGCCUAUUAGUGGGGGACAACAUUUCGAAAGGAAUGCUAAUACCGCAUACGUCCUACGGGAGAAAGCAGGGGAUCUUCGGACCUUGCGCUAAUAGAUGAGCCUAAGUCGGAUUAGCUAGGUGGUGGGGUAAAGGCCUACCAAGGCGACGAUCUGUAGCGGGUCUGAGAGGAUGAUCCGCCACACGGGGACUGAGACACGGCCCAGACUCCUACGGGAGGCAGCAGUGGGGAAUAUUGGACAAUGGGCGGAAGCCUGAUCCAGCCAUGCCGCGUGUGUGAAGAAGGCCUUAUGGUUGUAAAGCACUUUAAGCGAGGAGGAGGCUACUUUAGUUAAUACCUAGAGAUAGUGGACGUUACUCGCAGAAUAAGCACCGGCUAACUCUGUGCCAGCCGCCGCCGUAAGAC